rnacentral:rRNA from 1 species
AUUGAACGCUGGCGGCAGGCCUAACACAUGCAAGUCGGGCGAGUGGCGGACGGGUGAGUAAUGUAUGGGGAUCUGGCUGAUGGAGGGGGAUAACUACUGGAAACGGUAGCUAAUACCGCAUACCAUCAGAUGAACCCAAAUGGGAUUGGCUAGUUGGUGAGGUAACGGCUCACCUAUGCGACGAUCCCUAGCUGGUCUGAGAGGAUGAUCAGCCGCACUGGGACUGAGACACGGCCCAGACUCCUACGGGAGGCAGCAGUGGGGAAUAUUGCGCAAUGGGCGCAAGCCUGAUGCAGCCAUGCCGCGUGGAUGAAGAAGGCCUUCGGGUUGUAAAGUUCUUUCGGUCGGGAGGCGUUACCGACAGAAGAAGCACCGGCUAACUCCGUGCCAGCAGCCGCGGUAAUAC